CAAUACUCAGUUCGGAUUGUAGGCGUGCAACUCGCCUACAUGAAGUUGGAAUCGCUAGUAAUCGCGAAUCAGAAUGUCGCGGUGAAUACGUUCCCGGGUCUUGUACACACCGCCCGUCACACCACGAGAGUUUACAACACCCGAAGUCAGUGGCCUAACCGCAAGGAGGGAGCUGCCUAAGGUGGGGUAGAUGAUUGGGGUGAAGUCGUAACAAGGUAAC
rnacentral:rRNA from 1 species